CUAUGGUAGUUCGCCGGCUGUUGCUGGUGACGUACUUCCGGCAGCCUGACCCUUGUGAGUUCUCGCACGCUGUACAGACAUGUCCUUUCCGUCCGAUCUGCCGCUGGAGACUUUGCAGGCUGCAGCGAGAAGCUCCGGCCUUGAGGAGGAAGAUGAGGGUGAUGAAGAGCUGGAAGAGACUUUAUCAGAGAGGCUCUGGGGACUGACGGAAAUGUUCCCUGAAAGUUUCCGAACUGUGGCUGGUACAUCUUUCGACUUCUCCGUUUGUGCUGCCAAGAAGUUGUACAGCUUUUCCCGCUCAGCAUUGUGGAUAGGAACCACUUCAUUCAUGAUCCUGGUUUUGCCAGUAGUGUUUGAAACAGAGAAACUGCAGAUGGAGCAGCAACAACAGCUACAACAAAGACAGAUACUCCUAGGCCCUUCUACUGGAAUGUCCGGUCCUGUCCCUCCACUUCCGGGAAAAGUGUAGAACACAAGCACCUUUAGUCGUUUAAAAAUUUUCUUCUUUUUUUUUUUUUUCUUGUUAAUUAUUUUGAUGGUUAAAGAAAACAUGGAAGACCAGUCUCCUUGACUAUCAUCCUCCUUGAGUGCUGUGCAUGGAAUUCAUCUUAUCUGCAAACUUUCUCUUUAAUAAAGAAGAAGAGGGCCAGAAUCAUGAAUGAUUUUCUGCAGAGAUAAGUUUAUACAGGAACGCCUUCAGCCGCUCUCUCUGUGUAACAGAUUCUGUGACUCUGGGGUGGAAGGGAUAACGCCUAUUAGAUGGUCACGCUUCCAUUGUGGAUGACAUACAGAUGGCCUCAGACAAGUGGCUGUUAAAUUAAAUGGUUUCUUCUCUCUUGCAUGGCAUUUCUAAACUUCUCUUUGUGCUCCAUGGACCCUACAAACAGCCUGUAAGCUUUACAUUGCAGCCUGCUUCUGCCUCUGUACUGUGAUAAGGGACAGCAUUCCACAAAGGGGUUCUGGAGUGGCCCAGGAGUUCAUGUUACAUAACCUGGAGCAAGGGCUCUUUGAUGUAUCUCGUUGGAAGACCUACUAUAGAUACAUUUCUGUAAUUCCAGAGGGGUCUUACGGGUUAAUCAGUGAGCAGGUUGCAGCUUAUGUCUCUAACUUGAUUUGGUGUUUUGUUAUCAAUAAUACAAAAAAUACAUUAUAUACUACCAUAUUCCGUGUUAGCUGUAAAAAACAUUAUUUUUGGAAUACUUCUUGUCCCUUUCCUCAGAAUGUGGCACAUUCCCAAAUGUAGCCUCACACUUUGAGCAUGCGAAAGGCUCACACAUGGAUUGCAACAUAAGCACUCAAGCUGCCUUAGGGCAGGACUCCUCGGACGAUUCUGGUGCGAGCCGACGCGCUGUGCAAAAACGCAGACGUCCCGUCGGAUGCGACGGAAAUAAGGUAAGAAAUUCUGUUGUCGGAUUGUUUCGCAGCGUUGAUGCAACACGACUGUUGGAUGCAGACGAUGCACGCUGUGUCUGCAUCCGACAGUCGUGUCGUAUCAGAUCGCGCCUGAAUCGUCCGUGGAGUCCUGCCCUUAGUUAUAAUGAUGCUGGGAAUAGCGUGCUGAAUGCUGAGGGUGUUGCAUUUAAGAAGCCUUAACUGCAGCAUGGAGUCAGCCUGACGACAGCACACACCAUGGAGAGGGAAGAUUUUAGUCUGUAAAUGAGUUCACGGCCAGUCGUUUAUUUUAUAAAUUCUAUACUGUGUUCAGACAUCCUAUGUCUGCAGGACUUUUAAUGCCUGGUGAUAUUGUGGAACUGGUUCAUUUGCCUGUUUUUAUUUCUCUUGUUUUUUUUCCACAAAUUAAAAAAGGUUCAAAUUAAA